rnacentral:rRNA from 1 species
UACGUAGGGGGCUAGCGUUGUUCGGAUUUACUGGGCGUAAAGGGCGCGUAGGCGGCGUGACAAGUCACUUGUGAAAUCUCCGGGCUUAACUCGGAACGGCCAAGUGAAACUGUCAUGCUAGAGUGCAGAAGGGGCAAUCGGAAUUCUUGGUGUAGCGGUGAAAUGCGUAGAUAUCAAGAGGAACACCUGAGGUGAAGACGGGUUGCUGGGCUGACACUGACGCUGAGGCGCGAAAGCCAGGGGAGCAAACGGG